rnacentral:rRNA from 1 species
UACGGAGGGUGCGAGCGUUGUCCGGAAUCAUUGGGCGUAAAGGGCGCGUAGGUGGCCCGGUCAGUCUUUGGUGAAAGCGCGGGGCUCAACCCUGCGUCGGCCAGGGAUACUGCCGCGGCUCGAGCACUGUAGAGGCAGGCGGAAUUCCGGGUGUAGCGGUGGAAUGCGUAGAGAUCCGGAAGAACACCGGUGGCGAAGGCGGCCUGCUGGGCAGUAGCUGACGCUGAGGCGCGACAGCGUGGGGAGCAAACAGG